UCCAUCUGCCUGCCUGUCUCAGCUGGAAAUCUCCAUCAUCAGUCAGUGGACUGAUGGAUCAUGGCACUAAAACUCCUCAGUAGAAGGCAGCUGCAUUAUCUAAGCGGGGGAACAUGUUAAACAGGUACCAUUAUAAAAGGAAUGACUUCAGGUAAAAUAGAACAAUGAAGAGGCUGUCGUUUUGAAGUCAAAUCUGAAUUUCUCACCUGGCUCUAUUACUUUCUUACUGUGUAAUGCUGGCUUGAUGCAGAUGAGCAGGUAACCAUGGAAGUCGUGAGCUGAGGCUGCAGAGUCUAGAGCCAGAGUGUGGAAUAAACUUGGGUCUCAAAUCACCCCUGGAGCAAAGCACCCAUCUAAUCAGGAACUUCUACUUUCAACUUUACAUGCGUGAGAAAUGAACUUCUAUCAUGUUAGAGAAAUCCUUACACGGCGCCCUUGAGAGCUUUCAUACUGCAAGUCAUCCAUUUUCCUCCCCUCAAACCUGGCAUCGGAGUUUAUUGAAACAAAGCAAAAUAAAACAAAUAGACAAAGCUCUACCUCCAUCACUUCUGCAGUCUACAUUAACCCCACGUCCAGAAUAUUCACACCUCAGGUCUUUUUCUCACAAUUGAAACACUGGUUCAGAGCCUAACGGAAGGUCUUGGAGGUAAAAACACAACUUGGGGCAACUUUUCCAUUCUGUUCUGCAUGACCCCAAUGGGACUUCUCAGAAACCCCUCUCAUGAAUUAAACUUUGUUCUGUCUAGAGCAUUAGAAUAAGCUUAUGGGCACCUGCCAGGAGAUUAUAAAGUGGGCCAUUUAAAAGAUGACAGAUAUUGAGCACCCUUGACCCUGUAGAAAGAGUGUACCUACUUGCUUUCCCUAGGGCCCUUAAUGGUUUAUAAAA
rnacentral:lncRNA from 1 species